GCCUUCGUGGUGUAGUGGUCAGCACGCUCGACGCGUAACCGAGAGGUCCGUGUUUCGAAUCCCGCCGAAGGCG
rnacentral:tRNA from 1 species